rnacentral:rRNA from 1 species
CACGUAGGGGGCGAGCGUUGUCCGGAAUUAUUGGGCGUAAAGAGCUCGUAGGCGGUGUGUCGCGUCGGCCGUGAAAACCUGCAGCUUAAAUGUGGGCUUGCGGUCGAUACGGGCAUCACUGGAGUUCGGCAGGGGAGACUGGAAUUCCUGGUGUAGCGGUGAAAUGCGUAGAUAUCGGGAGUUUCUUCUGUGGCUACGGCGACCACCGGGAUCUACACUGACGCUGAGGUGCGAAAGCGUGGGUAGCAAACAGG